CACCCUCAGACUUGACAAACUUUGGAAGGCCAUCAGACAAACCCCGAGCAAAACCAGGUUGAGUUUGGACACGAACUUUGACGGCCUCCAUGGGGCAGAGAGCAACAUCCGCAAUCACUUCUGCAGAUGCUGAGCCAGCAAGGCACCCUGAGCACUGUAACCAAGCAACGUUGGCACCCAACCCCGGAAGAAUCCUCUCACUCCCUGCUCCUUUAGCAGAAUUCCAAAACCAGACGAGAUAUUCUUGUACUUUGCUGGGUCGAUCUAAAUUUUGGAAUGUGGCCAAAGCAGUGCUAUUUUAGGCAUGCAUGGAAAAUGAAUAUUGAAUAGUAAAGAGAAUUAUGGGUGACUAAUCGUUUUAAAUUAUGAUUGAUAUCAAAUAAUUUAAUAAUAUUAAUCAUA